rnacentral:misc_RNA from 1 species
UCCGAGUUGUCCCCGGCAGUCUCUUAUGAGUCCCCGGCAUAACCCGCUGGUAACAUAAGACAAGGGUUGCGCUCGUUGCGGGACUUAACCCAACAUCUCACGACACGAGCUGACGACAGCCAUGCAGCACCUCUACAGCGGUCCCCGAAGGGAAGACGAGCUUUCACCCGCUGUCCACUGCAGUUCAAGCCCAGGUAAGGUUCUUCGCGUUGCAUCGAAUUAAACCGCACGCUCCGCUGCUUGUGCGGGCCCCCGUCAAUUCCUUUGAGUUUCAGCCUUGCGGCCGUACUCCCCAGGCGGGGCACUUACUGCGUUAGCGACGGCACCGGGAGGGUCGCUCCCCCCGACGCCUAGUGCCCAUCGUUUACGGCGUGGACUAC